CAUACUGACCAGUCAAGAAUUGAGAAAAGAAAAAGAUGGAAAGAUCAGAGCUUGCCAAAUUCAACUCUUCCCGAGCAUAUCCAUCCUCUCUUCCCAUUAGUUUGAACCCUGGCAAUCCGAACUACCGUUUCUCUCUUCCUCUCUACACACGUCAUUUUUGCCACCACUUGCCAGUUUACAUUUGCCUGAACGCCACUGCCGGCGGUGUUGCUGGCUCAUAAAGAAGUUGAUGAAUUGGAAAAUAACAGGAGUUCAUGCCUUGAGGACUGGUAAGCCUUGCAUUAUCUUCCCUCCACGUUAUUUUUCUUGAUAACUAGACGGAAUGUACUGGUACUACUGCUCUGCAGAGUUUGUUCUUCAUAAACUCUUCUGCUGUGAGGAAAAUGUAACCUGAGCCUGACUCUAAAUUGUUCGAAAGCACUUCUUCAUCCGUCUGGAUUUUAUGGGAAGGAGUAGCGCAUCUGCUUCCCCACUUGCAACGAAUACGAAUGCUAUUUUUCUUUUGAGAUUUAUAGCUAGGAAUACAUUAUAAACCAUACUACAGCGUUGUUGCGUCCUUCUGGGACUUAAUUAGCUAGAGGAGUUUUGAAUGGGAAUGGUAAGUUUUAGAACCCUUUUCUUUUGAAGUUCAACUAGUCAUAUUAACAUUUGGGCAGGAAGCAUCCACCCACCAGUCAAAAAACUAAACUAGCGAACGUGGAAAGUGAAUUCCCAUUCAAAAGGAAAGCACAAGCAGCGCUACAAAGCUUCUGAAUUGGAGUUGGAGCUAUAUUGUAUUCUUUUUGCAGGUUUGCAUAUGCAAUUUAUUUGGGUACUGAGGUUGCUGCCUCUGAAAUCGAUGUCACAUGCUGUUGGAUGCAGCAUGACUUUCCAUUGUUUCAAGUUCUCAUCAUGAUGAACAUAGGCCGGAGUGGUUUAUACUAUAUGCUGCGAUCACUGGAUUGACUCUCAAAAGUUUCCUGCAACAUUUGCUCGAGUCUGGUGAUGAAGGUGGCUGACGAUCAUCUGGGUCCAUUAUUCUUGUAGGCUUCUUGACUUCUUUUUUUCCCCUUCCUUUUUCCAGUUUCCAGGAGAGAUCCUUUUCCUCUGACCCAGCUCAUAUCAACCAGUUAAAAAGAACAAAAACAAAGAAGCCAGGGAACCAUCAGAGAUUACCGAAUGCAAUGGAAGAUGUGGAAGAGGAUGGCCAAAUUUCUCCAACUUCAUCACCACCAACACCGCCAUCACCUCUUCCGAUAAGUACAGGACCUGGCAAUCAAAAAUACUAUUUCUCACCGUCUCCAACUCUUACCCCGCCAUUUUCACCACCGCAGUCCAGUCAUACAUCUGCAGAAAACCUCCCCCUUCUGCAGGAGGCAUCUGGUCCUAGUCGAACGCCGCCUUUGGCAUUUUCCUUGGACCUUAAACGAGCGGAUGAAGCGGAGGAUUCCAGAAGUUCGUGCCUUAAGGACUUGUUGGAGUGGUUUGUUCGAAGAUGCUGCAACUGCUACAUCGAGUCUUAAAUUUCAAGGAAUCAUCAGCUAGAGUAGCAACGGUGAGCGGUUAAUCAUCAGCUACAGUAGCAACGGCAAGCGGUUAAUCAUCAGCUACAGUAGCAACGACGAGCGAUUGUUUGUAACCAUUAUUUUUUUGGAUUUUUACUGUUUCUCAGGACCAAUUAGAAUCUUCUAACCUGCAACCUGACUCAUACGUCGGAGAUUGUAAACUUUACACGUUCAUGUGUAACUGCCCAUACGAACAAAAACAUCAAAUUUGUUUUAGGAAA